rnacentral:rRNA from 1 species
GACGAACGCUGGCGGCGUGCUUAACACAUGCAAGUCGAACGGAAAGGCCCUGCUUGCGGUGUACUCGAGGGGAGAACGGGAGUAAAACAUGUGGAACCUGUGCUCUGCACUUCGGGAUAAGCCUGGGAAACGGGGUAAUAUAGGGGAGAGGUGCCUGUUUCAGUGUGGGGGUUGGAAAGUUUUUGCGGUUUUGGAUGGGCUCGCGGCCUAUCAGCUUGUUGGUGGGGUAAUGGCCUACCAAGGCGUUGACGGGUAGCCGGCCUGAGAGGGUGGACGGCCACAUUGGGACUGAGAUACGGCCCAGACUCCUACGGGAGGCAGCAGUGGGGAAUAUUGCACAAUGGGCGGAAGCCUGAUGCAGCGACGCCGCGUGGGGGAUGACGGCCUUCGGGUUGUAAACCCCUUUCGCUAGGGGCGAAGCUUGUUGUGACGGUACCUGCAUAAGAAGCACCGGCUAACUACGUG